rnacentral:tRNA from 1 species
UCCAUUAUGGUGUAGUGGCUAGCAUUUGUCGCUUUCAUGGCGCUCUGAACGUCCAGGAGCCGACAGGACCGGGGUUCAAUUCCCCGUAAUGGAA